rnacentral:rRNA from 1 species
AACGAACGCUGGCGGCGCGCCUAAUACAUGCAAGUCGAGCGAGAAGACGCAGCAAUACGUUUGUAAAGCGGCGAACGGGUGAGGAAUACAUGGGUAACCUACCCUCGAGUGGGGAAUAACUAGCCGAAAGGUUAGCUAAUACCGCGUACGCUCCUUGGACUUCGGUUCAGGGAGGAAAGCGAUACCGUGGGUAUCGCGCUCUUGGAUGGGCUCAUGUCCUAUCAGCUUGUUGGUGAGGUAACGGCUCACCAAGGCUUCGACGGGUAGCUGGUCUGAGAGGACGAUCAGCAACACUGGCACUGCGACACGGGCCAGACUCCUACGGGAGGCAGCAGUAAGGAAUAUUGCGCAAUGGGCGAAAGCCUGACGCAGCGACGCCGCGUGGGGGAUGAAGGUCUUCGGAUUGUAAACCCCUUUCGGGAGGGAAGAUGGAACGAGCAAUCGUUCGGACGGUACCUCCAGAAGCAGCCACGGCUAACUUCGUGCCAGCAGCCGCCGUAAUAC